rnacentral:rRNA from 1 species
AGAGCGAACGCUGGCGGCAUGCUUAACACAUGCAAGUCGCACGGGCAGGGCAACCUGUCAGUGGCGGACGGGUGAGUAACGCGUAGGUAUCUAUCCUUGGGUGGGGGACAACUGUGGGAAACUACAGCUAAUACCGCAUGAUAACUGAGGUUUAAAGGCGCAAGUCGCCUGGGGAGGAGCCUGCGUACGAUUAGCUAGUUGGUGGGGUAAAGGCCUACCAAGGCGACGAUCGUUAGCUGGUCUGAGAGGAUGAUCAGCCACAUUGGGACUGAGACACGGCCCAAACUCCUACGGGAGGCAGCAGUGGGGAAUAUUGGACAAUGGGCGAAAGCCUGAUCCAGCAAUGCGCGUGUGUGAAGAAGGUCUUCGGAUUGUAAAGCACUUUCGACGGGGACGAUGAUGACGGUACCCGUAGAAGAAGCCCCGGCUAACUUCGUGCCAGCAGCCGC